rnacentral:misc_RNA from 1 species
AAAAAAAAAAAAAUUAUAAAAAAUACUUCACAGGCAUAAAUAUCAAUCACUAGUGGCUCUAUUUCUCUCUAUCCCAAUUUCUGACGUCCCUUAAUUCCAAUUUUCAAACAAAAACCAUUCAAGCUAAUUAUAAUUAAAAAAAAUAGCGACAAAAACACUAAGAGUUCAGAAAUUCCGGUUUGACAAUAUGAAAAUUAAAUCCUAUUAUAAAAAUAAUCGAAACAAUAGCAACCACGAAACUAUUGCCAAUCCUCAGUCACCUAGCGAUUAAAGUGAGUUGACGAAUUAAAUCUAGAAGACAUUUAAACCUAAAAUCAGAUCCAAAUUUCGAGGCAAAUAACUUCUUAGUGGAGAAAAUGAAUUGCAAUAUAUAAAGAACAAACCCUAAUUAAACCCUAAAAAGGGACCUG